UUCCGUCGUUUUGCAGCCGAAAUUCCGUAUUUAACAAGUCGGAAUGUCGGAUGGCCUGGCGAAAUGACGGAAAUUUCGCCCUCAAACUUCGAUCGGCUUUGUUCAAGUGGUUGGAAGCCAAUCCGUGAUUUUAGUGUUGGUGUCUGAAAUGAAAUGGGUUACCGGUGUUCGGUGGAUUCGACUCUGGUAUGGACGCUAGAAAUGCGAUCUCUUUCUUAUGGGAUCUGGUUGUGAGAAGAGUGUGAACAGGUUUGUGCACUGGAAGCAGAGCAUGGAAGGAAGAGACUCGUUUAAUGUAGAGUGAAUUUACUGGUUUUGUCAAGAAUGGGAGGUCCCCUGCUAUCUUUUCACUAAAUCUUGGCUUAGGAGGGAAUUUAUUAUCAAGGACUUGGAUCCUCUUCAUUAUUUUCUAGGCAUUUGGUAAAAAAAAUUAUUUUCUAGGCAUUAAGGUUUUUUUCCCAAUGGUGAAAGCUAAAAGAAGAGAGUUGAUUGCAGUAUCCAAAAAUGAAGACAACACUGGGGCAGAAAGUGACUUUUUUGAUGAAGAUAGUUGGGUGAUUGUUAAGAAACAAAGAAUUACCAUUCUGGUUCCUCCUUUACCAACACCCAUCAGAUUUGCAUAUGAGAAUCAGAGAAAGAAACAAGUCAACUCCAAGGGGACAGUUAAAAGCAGACUAGUGGUCCCAACUGAGACCCAUACUCAAAAUUGUCCAAUGGAUGAAAAGAAGUCUUUGUCCUUGGUACCAAAAGUGAAUGUUCAGAUGAACAGAGGAACUCUUGCCACAAAGUUAAAUCCUAUAAAAGAGAAGUUACCAGAGCCCACCAUUAGAACAGUUUCAGAAUGUCCAAAUCAGUGUGCUGGAGAAACCAUGCAGCAGCCACCAUCUUUAGAUCUUAUUUGUGACAAGCAAGUGCAAAGUGCACAUAGAUCGUCAAAAAUAGUUGGGUUGUUAAGAGGCCCAAAACCUACUAUGGAUCCAUGCCUUCCUCUGCAGAUUUGUCCAACUAGGGCCACAUUUUCUCAUGGAUCAGUCAAUUGCCUCGAUGGGGGUGUGUUGCAAAAUCAUAGGAUGCGGGCCUUGAGACUUGAAAGAAAACUAGCAAUAGCUGGUGGGUUGAGCAGAUGGCUUGUAUCACUGGGAUUGGGGCAGUUCAUACAAAUAUUCCAGAGUAGGAAUAUUGAUAAAUUUCAGUUAGUAAAUCUAACCAUGAACAAGCUCAAGGAUAUGGGUGCAAAUGCAGUAGGACCAAGGAGAAAGUUAUUACAUGCCAUAGACUGUCUCUACCAGCCACAUCCUUUGAAGACCUUCUAGAUUCGAUGGUGAUUCAAGAGAUAUUGGGACCAUCUGGAAUAAAUGGAUGCAAAUUAUGAGCAUCCUUUGUCCAAGAAAUGUCUUUCCAAUAGAAUUAUAUUUUAUCUUUUGCCUAGACAGGAAGAGAGCAGCCACUUUGAGAAAAAAUUUUCAAAUGUUAGGACCAUAUUCGGUCUACUCCCAAGACCCCAGAUAGUUAGGACCAACAUUCGAUAAUGACCCUUUUUUCGCACAGACAGGAAAUAGGAUGUCUUGAAGAUUACAACAUUUUGGUCCCCCAGUAAUUUGCCUCCCUUCCAACUACCAAUCCUUUGUUUGCAUUAGAAGGAGUAUCAUUCUGAAGGCAAUGUGGAACAACACAAAUAGUAACUUUGUUCAGUGUCUCCCAUAAAUUUCAUUAGCUUAUUUUGUAGUUGCUAGUAUAACAAAAAUUAUGGUUCUCAAAUACUAAUAUCAUGAUAAUCAGGAAAUCAUCUCUUGCAAUUUGAUGUCUGGACAUUUUUCUUAUUGCAAAUUCAUUGACAAUCUGUUUUCUAUUAAUUCAAAUUCUAGCUCGGAUUUAGAUAGUUGUAUAGCAUUAAUUUGGGUUAUUUCAAUUCCAGUCUCUCAUCCAUGGUUUAAACGAUAUAGAUGGGUAUUUGCUUCAGUUGCUUAUACAAUGGGGGACGGGACAUGGAAUUUAUCCCAUAUAUGCUUCAUAUGAGCAUUCUCAAUUUCUCAUGCAUAAUCCCUCUAAUGGUUCUUCUAGAGGAAAUUCCUAAGUAGGACAUUAAUGUGAUGGGAAAAUUGUCAACCUCAUUCCCUCAUAGGAUCAAGGAUUAAAAUACCAAUACAUGGCUUAUCGAAUCUGUACCAAUGUACCUAGAUGCACUUGGCUACACCAAUACAUGUUUUUGAAACAUUUAAAAGGUGUU